UGUUUUCCAAGGGCUCCAGGGAGGCGCCGCAGAAAGAGGUGCGGGUGGGCGCACGCUCGUGCCGGGGGCUUCUGAGCAGCCCCACCCCCCGGCUCGGCCCUGACAGAAGAACCGGAGCAGAGGAGAGGCUGGGGCCCUGGCCGUGGCCCACCCCACACCAGGGCCGGCCUCUGUGGAGUGGGCGGAAAACGUGGACUCUUUGGGAGUGGAAAGAUGGCUCCACGUUCUCGGCGCCAGGACCGUGCAGCGCCCGGGGCGCGAGGGGAAAGGGAAGCCAGCAGGAGGCAUCGGACGGGCCUCCUGAGCUUCAGGGGGACAGCUGACCGGGCCGCACAGCAGCUGCCCACGUCACCACACUCCCCGCCGCAGACUCGCCCUCGGACCGAGGCACGGAUUGCUCCGUGACGCGUCAGUGAACACAGCCCUGCGGUUCGGAGAAAUGGAUCACACGCCAGAUCCAAGUACGCAGCGCUCAGGAUCCCAGAACUGACAGUUUGUUAGAAAUCCUCUCUAAAAUGAAAAACCGACUUAAACCUGGCUUAACUAAAAACUUUUCACAUCACUAAGUUGUUCACCUGAAAAUAACGUAAUAGGGUGUAUCAACUGUACUCCAAUAAAAAAAGUCUUAUCAGAGA